rnacentral:rRNA from 1 species
CCCUUAGAUGUCCUGGGCCGCACGCGCGCUACACUGAUGCAUGCAACGAGUUUAUAACCUUGGCCUGAAAGGUCUGGGUAAUCUUUUGAACGUGCAUCGUGAUAGGGAUAGAUUAUUGCAAUUGUUAAUCUUGAACGAGGAAUUCCUAGUAAACGCGAGUCAUCAGCUCGCAUUGAUUACGUCCCUGCCCUUUGUACACACCGCCCGUCGCUCCUACCGAUUGGGUGUGCUGGUGAAAUGUUCGGAUCGGCCGUUUGUCGCGGUUUCCGCGGCUCGUGGCUGAGAAGUUCAUUAAACCCUCCCACCUAGAGGAAGGAGAAGUCGUAACA